rnacentral:rRNA from 1 species
UACGUAGGGGGCAAGCGUUAUCCGGAAUCAUUGGGCGUAAAGCGCGUGUAGGCGGUUCAGUAAGUCCGCUCUGAAAGCCCAGGGCUCAACCCUGGGAGGCGGGUGGAUACUACUGAACUAGAGUACGGAAGAGGAGAUUGGAAUUCCUGGUGUAGCGGUGAAAUGCGCAGAUAUCAGGAGGAACACCAAUAGCGAAGGCAGAUCUCUGGGACGUAACUGACGCUGAGACGCGAAAGCGUGGGGAGCAGACAGG